UUUUUUGGCCCCCUGUGUAACCACCACCUCAAAACGGAUCCAAGUAGCGAAUAGUAAAACUCAUUAAUUUUUUUUUAUUUUUGCUGUUGGGAUUGAACCCAGGGCCUUGACACUGAUCUACAUCUUUUUUUUUGGCACCAGGAAUGGAACUCAGGACUUUGCUUGCCAGACUUGUGCCACCACAUCCCCGGCACCAGGCCUUUUCCAGCUCUGAGUCUCUGAGCGGCCCAGGGCGGGGCUGGAACUUGCGGUCUCCUGCCUCAGCCUCCUCCCGGACUGCAGGGACGGCGGAAGUCCCACCAGGCUAGUCUCAGAGUCCAAGUCUUCCUGCCUCAGCCUCCUGAGUACCUGGGAUUACAUGGAUUCAUUACUGCAUCUGGUCCUGAUUUUUUUCAUUUAUUUGUUUGUUUAAUUUUUUGAGACAGGGUCUCACUAUGUAGUCCAGGCUGGACCUGAACUCAGAAAUCCUUCUGCCUCAGCCUCCCAAGUGCUGAGAUUACAGACAUGCAACCACAUCCGGCUUCAUUUUAUUUUUCAGUUGAUAAAAACUUUAAGAAAGGGUCGGGGAUAUAGCUCAGCGGAACAGUCAUGAGUUUCAUUCCCGGUAUUGAAAAAUAAACUUUAAUCAAGAUAUACGUGUAUACGUGUAGGGGCUGGGGAUUUAGCUCAGCGGCAUAAGCACCUCCCUUGCAAGCCGGCGGUCAUGAGUUCGAUUCCCGGUGCCAGAAAAACGGAAAAAAAAAAAAAAAGAUAUAUGUGUAGAAAAAAGGAUAUGUGUGUAGAAAAGUGUUUUUCUUUUAAAAAUACGCAUUUCUGGGCCGGGGGUUUAAUUCAGCGGCGUAAGUGCCUGGCUGGCAAACGUGAGGUCAUGAGUUCGAUCCCUGGCACCAAAAAAAAAAAAAACAUUUCACUGGUUGCUGGGAGGUAAGGAUGGAGGAGGGAAUUAGAAGUUAUUGCUUAAUGUAGACCGAGUUUCAACUGAAAAUGAUGAAACAAAUUCUAGGUGGAUGAUGUGAUGGUUUCACAAUACCGUGAAUGCAUGUGUGCGCCGUGGGCCUUUUACUAAGUAACAAACAUGUCCGGCUCCCCCGGGAUCUGUCUAUGAGGGUUAGUUUAAGGGUUUCUCCCUGAGACUGAAAUCCAGGUAUGCUCAGAUCUUUUACAUAAAAAAACGCUGAGGCAGAAGGAUCAUAGUUUAAACCAGCCUGGGCAACAUGGUUAAGACCCUGUCUUACAAUAAAAGUGUUCUUAAAAAUAGAAAAUGAUUAGGAAUGCAGCUCAGUGCAAAGGUCCUGGAUUCAGUCCUCAAUAGCACCAAAAGAAAGAGCUGCUGUACUAUAAACGAUGAGGAAAAAACUUUAUACAUGUUCAGUAUGGAUAAACACACACAAAAUUUUGUCUCCCCGUAUCCCAGGUUGGCCUUGAAAUCGUGGCAAUCCUCCUGCCUCAGCCUCCCCAUUGCUGGGAUUGCAAGCGUGUGCCACCAUGCUCAGCCAAGGACUUGAGUGUCUGUGGGGAGUCCUGGAUACAGUUUCCACGGAUAUCAAGGGAUGGGUUUGUCUGGGUGCCCGCCACCGCCACCUGGCUCUGGACCAGCUUCUGCCCCUAAGUUCUGGGGUAAAACCCGGGCCACGGCCCUGCGCGCCUAGAGAAAACGGUGUGCGCACGCUCUGUGUCUUCUGCAUGCUGUUACCUUUCCUGACCACCACGGCAAAGACCACGAGCACAACGAGGAGGAAGCAGGCUCCAGCCAGGCUGAGGGAGAGCGUCAGGAUCCAAGUGGGCACUAGGGGAAACCCGGAAAGCCAAUGUCACCUGGGAGGGUCCAUCGCUCUACACAGACCCCCAAAUCUGGGCUCCCGCGGCUGACCCCCCGGCACCUAGCAACCUUGCAUCAGGUCAAUUAGCAUAUUCCCUCCCUCGGCCAAUGUGAUUGGUUCAGACUUGGGCAUGUAACCCUGGCAGAGCCAAUGGAAACUGACUCUGGGACUUUAGCUGGGCCAAUGGAAAAAGAGGUUUAUUCCUCUGAAUAACUAGCACUCUACCCAGAGCUGAUGCUGGACUUAAUUUUGUCAGGCUUUUUUUCUCUGUGGAAGACUCGGUUUUUUCUCUCAGGACACAGAGGAGAUCUUUUGGAGCACCAAGGAGGAGACCUCUGGCCCCAGUCAAGUACAGAGCCACUGAGCCAGGAAGGGAAGGAGCGCGUUUGGUGUUCUCACAAAGCCUGGCCUUGUUCAUUCAUUCACAGGGCAGCGGGGUUGGGUCGCCUCUGCCACCGACCGCAAGGCCAAGGUGGAGAAGGGAGCCUUUGACACAGGCGCUGGAGGCCUGCAGGACACAGAGGCGGCUGUCAUCACGGCCAGCGGACUGUGGUUGCCCACAAGGUGCACUUGGCAGCGGGUGACGUCAGCAGGCGAGAGGCUCCCUUCACAGCUUAUUUUUUUUUUCAUUUAUUUUUUAUUUUCCGGAUAUUGAGAAUUGAACUCAGGAUCGCACACGUGCCAGGCAGGAGCUACAUCCCUGGCCCCACCUUUUAUUAGAAACAUGACUUGCUAUGUAGCCCAGGCUGACCUUCACUUCAUGAUCCUGGACUCCUGGGCUCCAGCGAUUCUCCUGCCUCAGCCCCCUGAGAAGUUGGGACUGUAGGUGUGCACCACCAUCCCUAACUUCAUUCAAACUUUUGCUUCAAUGUUAGGAUACCUCUGACCCCCGGUGUGGUGGCACACGCCUUUAAACCCAGCACUCUGGUCACCUGAGGCAGGAGGACCACAGGUUCAAGCACACCCUGGCAGCUAAGCAAGAUCCUGACUCCAAAUUAAAAUAGAGGAUGGGAUGUGACUCAAGUGAGGGUUCUGGGUCCAAGCUCCAGUACUAAAAAGAGAAAGAGAAAGAGAAACAGAGGGCCAGAGGACUUCCCCGUCCUUCUCACCCUCCACUUAAAAAUACUGCCCUCCGGGGCCAGGAAUUUAGCUCAGCAGCUCAAGCACCUGCCUGGAAAGCGUGAGGUGCUGAGUUUGAUCCCCGGUACCACAACCAAACAAACAAACUAACAAGCAAACAGAAGAUCGCACUCCACCAGGCCGAGUGUCUCCUCUGGGCUCUCAUCUGACAGGCUGAAUAUUUACUGGUCCCCUGUUUGUCAUCUGUCCCCACCUCUGAGACGUCAGCUGCAGGCGGGUGCUGUCUGUUUCACUCACUGCUGAGCCCACGGUGCCCAGGACAGUACCUGGCACAUCACAGGUGCCAAAAAUUGUAUGUAGCGUUUGGUUCCUGGGCCUGAGGCCAAUGGCUCUGCUGUCUGUUAGCUGGGGCCUGGAAAAGCCCUUGAAGGUUCCCUUUUUUCCUUUCUUUCUUCAGUCCUGGGUCCUGCACCAGGGCCUUUGCACGGAGCUCCACCCCAUCCCUUUUUAUUUCACUCUGAGACAGGGUCUCGCUGACUUUCUCAGGUGCCCAGGCCGGGCUGGAAGCUGGGAUCCCCCUGCCUCAGCCUCCCAGAGCACUGAGUUACAAGGCUGCACCAUAUCAGCUCUUUUUCCUUAACUCCCGGGUGGCUACCCAGGAAAAGGGAGUGAGUGAACCAGGUCUUCCCAGAAAGCUGUCCCCGCAGGGAGGUGGCCCUGGGGACCUACCUGGGAAGGAGACCUGCACCGGCUGGCUGAGGUCCGACAGCUGCGGCUGACUGUCCUCGCCCGUCACGCCGUACUGGCAGCAGAACUGCCAGCUGGGAGCCUCGAUGCCCGUGCUGCCACUGACGUUGAAGGUGACCCCUGCCUCACCUGCAGGGGCCUGCAGGAGCUGGACCACGUGUCCCCCUCGGUACAGGGUGAAGUUCGCCCCCAGGAAAGUCGCAGGGGCCGUGCAGGAGAUGUGGAUGGGGUCCUCCUGGCUGCUGGGGUAGGGGGGCACCAGGAGGAUGGACGGCGCUGGGAUGGCCAAGGAGCCUGCGGGCAGGGCAAGGGCAGCUGAGCGGGGCUCCGGGCACAGCCGCAGUGCAGCGCUCCAGGAGGCUGAGGCAGGAGGACCGCACGGCAGAGACCGAUCUGGGUAACUCAGCCAAGCAGCCAGACUUUUUCUCAAUGUAAAAAGGGGUUCAGGGCUGGGGGUUUAGCUCAGCGGUGUAAGUGCCUGCUUGGCAAACGUGAGGUCGUGAGCUCAAUCUCCAGUACCAAAAGGAAAUAAAUAAAAGUGGGUUGAGGUUGGGGGAUACAGUUCAGUGUGCUCUGCGUUCAAUCUCCAGGACCACAAACAAGAAGAAAGCAAGCAAGAAAGAAAGAAAGAAAAAAGAAAAAAGAAAAAAGAAGUUUAGAAAGAAAGAAAAAAGAAACCAGAAAAGUUGAGGCGCCAGGGAUGCAGUUCAGCGGCACAAGCGCUUGCUGCCAGCCCGAGGUCACGGGCUCAGUCCCUCGUACCAACAAGCAGAAAGAAGAAGAAGAGCUGGGUGUGGCGGCGCACGCCCACAGCCCCCGCACUCCAGAGGCUGAGGCAGGAGGGUCGUCGUGAGUUCCAGACCAGCCUGGGCGAGACGUGAGCUGACAGCCAGCCUGAGCUGCACAGCAAGACCUUGUCUUGAGAAAAAAAAAGAAAAGAAAAGAAGAAGAAGAAGAGGAGGAGGGAAAACAUGCAGCAGAAGCCAGGAGGCUGCGUCCCUUGGCCCGGCUGUGCCACAGAAACGUGCCCGCUUCCUACAGGAGCGGCCCUGCCCCGGGAACCGGCUUGUCGCUGCCUGGGAGCUCUGCGCACAGCGCAUCACAGGCAGAUGAACCCCAGCCUCUGUGCGCACCCCAUGUCCCUGAAGGAGCACACCGGGAGCCCGCGCAGCCCAGGGGCUGAGAGGCAGCACGGUGACACUGGGUGACUGAAGGUUCCGACCCACAAAGGCCGGGCCAUUGCCAUCCGCCCCGCCCCGGGGCCUCCAUCACCUGGGAAGCAGCCCCCACCUUGGCCAGGGCCCAGGCUGGGGUCCCCCCACCUCCAGGCAGUUGUCACACUCACCGGCUGCGAGGAGCAGGAUGGCCCAGGGCAUCUCUCCUAGCGUCCUCAGGCUGGGCGCUGGCCGGGGCCAGAAGGGUCCAGGGCCGCCCACCGACUCCUCCUGUGAGGCGAGAGAGGAGAAAAGAGAAGCAGGCUUGGAGCCCAGCGUUUCCUCAGGGGCAGGAAGUUGCACUCACACCCCGGGCACCCCAGCCUCUGGCCUCCCCCACCCCUUCCCUAAAUGCAAACCUCGCCCUCCGCCUCUCCGAAGCACCGCAGGCUGGGCUGAGGGAGGUGCAUGAGGUGCACGGUCUGCUUUCUCCUCCACCCACCAGAAUUCCUGGCACUGGAGGUCGCCCCGAGUGAGGGCUCUCCCCCCUGCACACCUCCUGUCAUCUCAGCCCAGGGGAGGCUGAGGCAGGAGGACUGCUAGGAGUUUGAGCUUGAAGCCUGUCAGCCUAGGCUACACAGUGAGCUCAAGGCCAGCCUGAACUACGUAGCGAAACCCUGUCUUUAAAAAAAAAAAAUAAAGAAAGAGAAACCUAUGCCAGAUUAGCAACCCACAGUCUGACCAGUGCUAAAACUGAAACCAAUUUAAAACAGCAUGGUGACCAGGGCUUGGUCUCUGUGACCUCAGGCAGGACUUGACUUCUUGGAAACAUCAGCUAGUGCUCUGGAGAAGGAGCUUAGAGACAAAGAAACCAGGUACAAGACGCCAUGUCAACAGAAGCAAAAUGGGACAUGCCUGAUCCCAGUACUUGGGAGGCUGAGGCAAGGGGACGCAGUGUUUGAGUGCUGCUUGGACAACUUAACAACUUAGUAAAACCCUAUCUCACAAAAAACAAAGCAAAAUGAAACUGCUCAGUAGGUUAUGAGUACUUCUAAUUGGCAGCGACAGGGAAGAAAGGGAACAGCAGGUCUAUAUUUGAAGAAAUCAUAGUUUUCAGGAUAAAUUGCAGGGAAAUGGCCCAGAAACUCCCAUACUUCUGUCUCAGGGGGAGGUUUGCUUUCAUUUGGGUAAAUGUUUCUGUUCAAGCCAAGCUGGGCCCUUGGGGCUCCCUGCUGGGAAGGCUGGAGCUACGCUCACUGAGAAACAGGAGCAGCACGCUUGGGAACUGCUUCCCCUGGCAAAUCUCAUUCCAGCCACAGGGCCUUUGUGCAUGCUCUUCUGCUUACCUGAGACAUGGCUCCAUCAACCUGGUUAAAUCCUACUUCUCCUUUAGGUUGCAGUUUAAAUAUCAAUUCUAGGAAACCUUGCCAAACCUCUCUGAACUCCACUCCCAGCUCCAUUCUCCCAGAGUCUUAAAAAUUGUGUUUGUUGCAUUUAGCAUGUGUUUAUGUUUUUAUUAUUCCUUUGUACAGGAUCUCACUGUGUAGUUCAGGGUACCUUCAAUUCGCUAUAUGUAGCCCAGGCUGGCCUGGAACUCACAGCGAUCCUCCUGCCUCAGCCUCCCGAGUGCUGGGAUGACAGGCAUGCACCACCACAUCUGGCUGAGCAUGUGUAUUUUUAAAGAAAUUUGCCUGUUUCAUUUCAUCCAGUUUGUUGAAUGAAUGCAGUUUUGCUCAUA